rnacentral:rRNA from 1 species
UGAGCAAUCUGCCCUUCUCAUCGGAAUAAGCGUUGGAAACGACGUCUAAACUGCCGAACACGACCUCCUUUCGCAUGAUCGGAGGUGGAAAGCUCCGGCGGAGAAGGAUGAGCUCGCGGCCUAUCAGCUAGUUGGUGUGGGUAACGGCCCACCAAGGCGACGACGGGUAGCCGGCCUGAGAGGGUGACCGGCCACACUGGGACUGAGACACGGCCCAGACUCCUACGGGAGGNAG